AAGUCGUAACAAGGUUUCUCAGCCUGCCGAAGCCUUGUACCUAGCAGUCCGCCUCCGGGCGGGCGACACUCGCCUGUUGCUGGAAAUCGCCUUCCUCCGCGGGAGGCCAACCAGCUGCUGCAUGCCCGUGCAGUCCACAGAUCAAACGCGGGUGGCCUGCGCCCCGGGGAAACCCCCCCCCCCCGGGUCGAUGGUUAAGAUAUGACCGUAGCUGCUCUGCGAAGAUGCUGACCACUAGUUCCGUAGGUGAACCUGCGGAAGGAUCAUUACCGAGAGAGGGACUUCGCGUCCCCCGGGGAUUGCUACGGCAUCCCAACUCUUCAACCCUGUGUCUACCAACCUUUGUUGCUUUGGCGAGCGCCGGGGCGCAAGUCUCGGCCCUGACCUCGGUCAGCGGGCCCUCGCCAGAGGCCCAUUACAAUUCUGUUUUCAGUGAAGUCCGAGCAUACAAACGAAUAAAUCAAAACUUUCAACAACGGAUCUCUUGGUUCUGGCAUCGAUGAAGAACGCAGCGAAAUGCGAUAAGUAAUGUGAAUUGCAGAAUUCAGUGAAUCAUCGAAUCUUUGAACGCACAUUGCGCCCCUUGGUAUUCCGAGGGGCAUGCCUGUUCGAGCGUCAUUGCAACCCUCAAGCUUUGCUUGNGUUGGGNNUCGCCUUGCCUCCGGGAGGGCGAGCCCGAAAAUCAGUGGCGGUCCAGGGAGACUUUCAAGCGCAGUAAAACUUUCCGCUUUCGAAGGCCUCGCCUGUGGCUUAGCCGUGAAACUCCCCAAAUUUUCAAUGAUUGACCUCGGAUCAGGUAGGGAUACCCGCUGAACUUAAGCAUAUCAAUAAGCGGAGGAAAAGAAACCAACAGGGAUUGCCUUAGUAACGGCGAGUGAAGCGGCAACAGCUCAAAUUUGAAAUCUGGCUCCUUCCGGGGUCCGAGUUGCAAUUUGUAGAGGAUGUUUCGGGCGGAGGGCCGGUCUAAGUCCCUUGGAACGGGGCGUCAUAGAGGGUGAGAAUCCCGUAUGUGACCGGUGACGAAGCCCAUGUGAAACUCCUUCGACGAGUCGAGUUGUUUGGGAAUGCAGCUCAAAAUGGGUGGUAAAUUUCAUCUAAAGCUAAAUACCGGCCAGAGACCGAUAGCGCACAAGUAGAGUGAUCGAAAGAUGAAAAGCACUUUGGAAAGAGAGUCAAAAAGUACGUGAAAUUGUUGAAAGGGAAGCGCUUGCAACCAGACCUGCCCGCGGGUGAUCAACCGUCCUUCUGGGCGGUGCACUCGCCCGUGAUCAGGCCAGCAUCGGUUCGGGCGGCCGGAUAAAGGCCUUGGGAACGUAGCUUCUUUCGGGGAGUGUUAUAGCCCUCGGUGCAAUGCGGCCAGCCUGGACCGAGGACCGCGCUUCGGCUAGGAUGCUGGCGUAAUGGUUGUAAGCGGCC
rnacentral:rRNA from 1 species